AUUCAUUCAAGCGGGCUAACUAACCGUGUGUUGCCAAGGCGAGGCAUGGGUUCCUGGCCAGAGUCGAGGCAGUAUUUUCGGCUGGACGAUGUUACUCCUGACGACGCAUCGUUGCGUCUUCCCUGUGUGCAGUAAUGGCAUGGGCUACCGAUGAUUCACCACUGGUUUUGCUUGUGUCCAGUGGCCGUGCACCGUGCAAGUGGUCAUGAUUGUUCGCCAUCGUUGUAAAUCGACGUUAGAUGCAUCAGCUAGAGUAGCUUGCGGGCUGGAAUUCGUUGCAAACUAUGACAUGCUCGGAUAUGUAUGUACUGCACUGCAACUUAUGAUGCAUGCUCGGAUAGGCGCAUUCUUCAGUCUAAAAUAUAACCUAAGUCCUGAACUCUGAUCCAGGGCAAUUCUUGAAUUUCAGAUGGUUGCUGUGAAAUAGCUGGGAUUUUGUUUUCUUUGUAACCGCACAAGAGCUGGUGAUAUGUUUGAUUGGUAUACACCUAAUGACUUCUUGGCAUCUGAAUUGUUAGCGCCCCUGCCAGGAAAGGCACCCACCACAGCGCCAACGACAUGCGCGGUACACGGGCCAAGCGUGUACCACGGACCAACCCCCGCUUCACUGGGCCGGACUGGGCCAACCAGCUAUACUCGAAGGGCCACGCUACUUAAGCAAGGCUAGUCAUCCAGAGGAUCACGACACUGGCGGCUACCUACUUUCCCUUCCACUUGUUCUUGUGUUCAUCUUGCAUCGAAGAACUCCUACCAAUUCUUGUAAUCUCCUGUACCUAAGCUACUACUUCAGAGAGCUAAACCAAGAGAGGGUCAGUGUAAUCAUAACAUCUGGUAUCAGAGCCCAACCACCUCCCUUCCAUCACUUCCGAUCUGGCCAAUUUCGUGGAAACCCGACGCCUUCGACAAGCUAGAUCGCAGAUCGAGGAGAUGGAUCCGUCGAUGAAGGAGUACAUGGACCGACUCACCAAGUCCAUGGACGAGAUUCGGGUCGACCUCCGCAACAACACCGCGGCGGUGCACGCGAACACGACCAAGCUUGACGACCUGAUCACCUGGCGUCCGGACCUCGAGCGCCGCGUCUCCGAGCUCAGCGACGCGGUGAUGGAUCUCCGUCAAGGGCGCGCGCCAGCGCCAAGGGCGUCUGGUGCGGCAGCGUUGGGGCCCUCGACGCGCAAGCCGCCCGUUGCAGCGGACAGCGGCCUCCCUGCGGUUAUGGAUCGCGCGGCGACGCUACCCCACGGGUCUACGGACCACGGCGACGUUUUUCUUCACCGGGAGGCGCCGGUGACCCCGUCGGUGUCUCUCCCAGGCACCGGUCAGUUCCUGCCCCAAUCCCCAGUUCCACCUCUCUCACCUUUUGCACACGCGAGUCAGAUGCUCGUGGGUCUGGGGCAAGCCCACCCAUCCAUUUCAUUUCCGUCGUUCUCGAGCGAAAAUCCUUGUAUCUGAAAAACCAUGUGUGAGCAAUAUUUUGCAAUGUUUGGGAUCCACAACUCCUUCUAGGUUCCUAUGGCCGCCCUGAAUUUCCCAGCUCAGCGGCGGUGUGGUUACAGUCCAUACACUCCAAGUUAUCUACCUUUGAUUGGGCGUGAUCGCCACCAAUUGCUCAUUAGACAGUUCUAUACCAUCCAUCAGACGACCACAAUUGCUGAUUACAUUGAACAUUUUGAAGUUUUGGUCAAUCAUUUAACUUCCUAUUCUGAAUCAUUGCAUCCUUACUUCUAUCUGACUCGUUUUGUCGAGGGACUCCGGAACGACAUCCGCGCCGUGGUGCUGGUGCAGCGACCACCCGAUUUGGACACGGCGUGUUCCCUGGCAUUACUUCAGGAGGAGGUGAUGGAGCCAGUGCACCGUGUUCAUCCACCAACUCCUGUUGCACGGGUGCCUGAUGCCGUUCUGCACCCAAAUGUUCCACUACCCUUGCCGCCUCCACCUACUCCAAGACCAACUUCAGCAAACGCGCCGACGACAGCUAAUGAUCGUCGCGGCGUCGAAGGUGCACGGGCUGAUAGCAACAAACUCAAGGCGCUCCGCGACUACCGCCAAGCACGCGGGCUCUAUUUCAAGUGCGGGGAACGUUGGGGCCACGAUCAUGUGUGCCCCACGUCAGUGUAGCUGCAUAUUGUUGAAGAACUGCUCGAGCUCUUCGCUAUCGACGCAGGCAUCGACGCUUCAACGACACCUGAACCAGGGGCAUCUGAAACUGUCAUGGCUAUCUCACGAACAACACUGUCGGGCGGGGUUUCAGCUAAAGCUUUCCAACUCCGAGCUUGGAUACAAGGGCAUGAGGUAUUGGUACUGGUUGAUUCAGGUAGUACCACAUCUUUUGUGGAUCAGAAGCUAGCCAAGUCGUUGGACGGAGUGACAUCUCUGGCACGCGCGUGCACGGUGCGCGUCGCCGACGGCGGAGAACUCAUCUGUUCUUCUGAAGUUCCCCAGUGCACCUGGUACUCUCAAGACCAUGAAUUCAUCACCAACAUGAAAGUUCUACCAUUGGGUACUUAUGAUUCCAUUUUGGGCUUGGAUUGGUUAGAGGAAAACAGCCCCAUGUUUGUGGAUUGGCGAGCGAAGCGCAUUGAAAUCCAUGCUGCCAAUGCAACAAUUUGUCUGCAAGGGCACGACGCCCAGUCCACAGUUUGUCACACGAUCAACAGCCUGCACCUUCAGAGUCUGAUCAACAAUGAAGCAGUCACACAUGUCAUUUUCUUACACUCGGUCACUUCUGAAGAAGAACUCCUGCAAGCCAUUCCUGACUAUAUCCGACACGUAUUACUCCAAUUUGAGGAUGUGUUUGGGGAACCAACUGAAUUACCACCGCGACAUUCCUAUGAUCAUCGGAUACCCCUCAUCCUAGGAGCACACCCGGUGAACAUUCGUCCGUACAGACAUAAGCUAGAACAUAAGACUGAAAUAGAGAAACAAGUGGCAGAACUGCUCCGUGCCGGUAUCAUUCAAAAAAGCUCAAGCCCUUUCGCUUCUCCUAUUAUCUUGGUCAAGAAGAAGGACGGCCGAGGGAGUCCUGGAUUAGGGGGUCUCCGGAUAGCCGGACUAUCUCCGUUGGCCGGACUGUUAGACUAUGAAGAUACAAGAUUGAAGACUUCGUCUCGUGUCCGGAUGGGACUCUACUUGGCGUGGAAGGCAAGCUAGCUAGGCAGUACGGAUAUGGAUAUCUCCUCAUUUAUAACCGACCUUGUGUAACCCUAACCCUCUCCGGCGUCUAUAUAAACUGGGGGGUUUUAGUCCGUAGGACAACAAUCAUAACAUACAAUCAUACCAUAGGCUAGCUUCUAGGGUUUAGCCUCUCUCAUCUCGUGGUAGAUCUACUCUUGUACUACCCAUAUCAUCAAUAUUAAUCAAGCAGGACGUAGGGUUUUACCUCCAUCAAGAGGGCCCGAACCUGGGUAAAACAUUGUGUCCCCUGCCUCCUGUUACCAUCCGGCCUAGACGCACAGUUUGGGGCCCCCUACCCGAGAUCCGCCGGUUUUGACACCGACAUUGGUGCUUUCAUUGAGAGUUCCUCUGUGUCGUCGCCGUUAGGCUUGAUGGCUCCUACUAUCAUCAAUAGCGAUGCAGUCCAGGGUGAGACUUUUCUCCCCGGACAGAUCUUCGUAUUCGGCGGCUUUGCACUGCGGGCUAACUCGCUUGGCCAUCUGGAGCAGAUUGAAAGCUACGCCCCUGGCUAUCAGGUCAGAUUUGGAAGUUUGAACUAUACGGCCGACAUCCGCGGAGACUUGAUCUUCGACGGAUUCGAGCCACAGCCCGGCGCGCCGCACUAUCGCGAUGGGUAUGACCUAGCUCUGCCGCCGAACAGUACCCCAGAGGCCGCGCCCGCAUCAGCUCCGACCCUUAGCUCGGAGCCAACUGCGCCAAUCGAGGACGAGUGGUUAGACACCGCCUCAGGGGCUGCAGUCUCAAUGGCGAUCGAGCCAAACACCAGCAUAAUCCUCUGCGCAGCCCGUGACUCCAAGGUGCCGGACUCUUUUCCGGACCCCGAACCAUCCGCGCCCCUGCCAGUCGAAUCCGAUUGGGCGCCGAUCAUGGAAUUCACCGCCGCAGAUAUCUUUCAGCACUCACCCUUCGGCGACAUUCUGAAUUCACUAAAGUCUCUCUCUUUAUCAGGAGAGCCCUGGCCGGAUCAUGGCCAACAUGAUUGGGAUGCGGACGACAAAGAAAUUCGACGCCCACCCAACACCCACUUCGUAGCCACUGUCGAUGAUUUAACCGACAUGCUCGACUUUGACUCCAAAGACAUCGACGGUAUGGACGACGAUGUAGGAGACGAACAUGAACCAACACCUAUAGGGCACUGGAAAGCCACCUCGUCAUAUGACAUAUACAUGGUGGAUACACCCAAUGAAGGCAAUGGCGACGAGAUAGCGGAGGAUGACCCCUCCAAGAAGCAACCCAAGCGCCGACGUCAGCGGCGUCGCUCUAAGUCCCGCCAAAGCAAAAGUGGUGAUACCGGCACAGGAGAUAAUACUCCGGAUAGUGCCGAAGGCAACAACAAUCCCCUCCAGCAAGAUUUAGAGCAGGAGGGUGAAGGAGCCAGCUCUCCUGAGAGAGCGGCAGAUGGAGAGGAGGAGGAUGACAAUUACAUCCCCCCUCCGACGAGGCAAGCCUCGGCGACGAUGAAUUUGCCGUCCCAGAGGAUCCCAUCGAACAAGAGUGCUUCAAGCGUCGGCUUAUGGCCACGGCAAAUAGCCUGAAGAAAAAGCAGCAGCAGCUUCAAGCUGAUCAAGAUCUGCUAGCUGACAAAUGGACCGAAGUGCUCGCGACCGAGGAAUAUAAACUCGAGCGCCCCUCCAAGAGUUACCCAAGGCGCAGGUUACUACCCCGACUGGAGGAAGAAGCGUAUGAUACGGCUGAUCGGCCACCUCGUGGCUGCGAUAGAGAGGCAUUCCAUCCAAAAGCUCAGCCUCCACCCCAACGCCAUUCAAAUAAAAAGGCAUGGGGAGAUACGCCAGACCUGCGAGACAUAUUGGAGGACAAGGAAAGCAUUCAAGAUCGAUCUACGGAUCACGAGGGCGCACCACUCUGCGAGACGACAAACGUCACGCCGGAUACAGUAAAAGAAAAUCCGGCCGGGCCGAACACAGCGGGCAAGACCCAUUCGAGCUGCGUCAAGAUAUAGCCCAAUACAAAGGCGCCGCACACCCCUUAUGCUUCACAAACGAAGUAAUGGAACAUCAAUUCCCUGAAGGUUUCAAACCUGUAAACAUUGAACCAUACGACGGCACAACAGAUCCCGCAGUAUGAAUUGAGGACUUCCUCCUCCACAUCCACAUGGCCCGCGGUGAUGACUUACACGCCAUCAAAUACCUCCCACUAAAGCUCAAAGGACCAGCGCGACAUUGGCUUAACAGCUUGCCAGCGGGCUCCAUUAGCUGUUGGGAAGAUCUGGAAGCCGCAUUCCUCGACAACUUUCAGGGCACUUAUGUGCGACCACCAGACACCAAUGAUUUGAGCCACAUAAUUCAGCAGCUAGAAGAGUCGGCUAGGCAAUUCUGGACUCGGUUCCUUAUAAAGAAAAAUCAAAUCAUCGACUGUCCGGAUGCGGAGGCCUUAGCGGCUUUCAAGCACAAUAUCCGGGACGAGUGGCUAGCCCGGGAGCCUUGGUCAGGAAAAGCCGAAAUCUAUGGCAGCUCUCACGACGCUCAUGACCCGCUUUUGUGCGGGAGAAGACAACUGGCUGGCUCGCAGUAAUAACAUAUCAAAGAACCAUGGUACCUCAGAUACCAAGGACGACAAUAGCAGGUCAUGUCGCAACAAGCAUAAGCGUCGCAUUAACAGCGAAAAUACUGAGGAUACGACAGUCAAUGCCGGAUUCAAAGGCUCUAAACCCGGUCAGCGGAAAAAGCCAUUCAAAUAAAGUACGCCGGGUCCGUCCAGCUUGAACCAUAUACUCGAUCGCUCGUGUCAAAUACAUGGCACCCCAGACAAGCCAGCCAAUCACACCAACAGGGAUUGUUGGGUGUUCAAGCAGGCCGGCAAGUUAAUUGCCGAAAACAAGGACAAGGGGCCGCAUAGCGAUGACGAGGAGGAACCCCGGCAGCCGCACACUGGAGGACAGAAGAGGUUUCCCCCGCAAGUACGGACGGUGAACAUGAUAUACGCAACCCACAUCCCCAAGAGGGAGCGGAAGCGUGCGCUCAGGGACGUAUAUGCGUUGGAGCCAGUCGCCCCAAAGUUCAACCCUUGGUCCUCCUGCCCGAUCACCUUCGAUCGCAGGGACCACCGCACUAGUAUCCAUCAUGGCGGAUUCACCGCACUGGUCCUAGACCCAAUCAUUGACGAAUUUCACCUCACUCGAGUCCUUAUGGACGGCGGCAGCAGUCUAAACCUGCUUUAACAGGACACAGUGCGCAAAAUGGGUAUAGACCCCUCAAGGAUCAAACCCACAAAAACGACCUUUAAGGGCGUCAUUCCAGGUGUAGAGGCCCAUUGCAUAGGCUCAGUUACACUGGAAGUGGUCUUCGGAUCCCCGGAUAAUUUCCGAAGCGAAGUGUUAAUCUUCGAUAUAGUCCCGUUCCGCAAUGGUUAUCACACGCUGCUCGGGCGAACCGCAUUCGCUAGAUUCAAUGCGGUACCGCAUUAUGCAUACUCAAGCUCAAGAUGCCAGGACCUCGCGGAGUUAUUACAGACACAGAGCGCUCUCUCCGAACAGAGGAGCACACCGCGGCCCUCGCAGCAGAAGCGCAAAGAAACCUCUCAAGGCAAUCAACCAGUUCGGCGCUUCAAAGCCCGGACACCUUCAAGCGCGCUCGGGGCAAUCAGCAAAUAGACCGCCUGGCGCGAUCUGAGCUUGCGUAGCAAUACGGAGGCCACCCCAAUCCCAUCCCAGCAGCACUGUGGCCGAACACAUGAUGCAGCAACCAAGGAGGCAGACAGCUACGUUAUACCACGGAAUUCCCAGGUUGAUUACAUUAACGAGUGAAAUAUUCAAUUUAAUAUCAUUCCUCAGCUUGCCCUUGGAAGGGACAUAGUCCUACUCUUUGCUUAUCGCACUAUCUGUAUCACUCUACUUUAACGCAAUUUUUUAAUAAACAAUGCAUGACAUUACGACUAUUAUCACAUUCUUGUUAUAUAUAUAUAUCUAUGUGUUCAUUAAUGACGCCUUGCAACCGUACACUCUAGUACGGCCAAUAGACCAGGGGCUUACGUACCCGACAUGCAGUGUGAAAAGUCCGAACACUUUCACAAGUGCGGCACCCCGAACUUAUAGCAUUAUAUGCAUCAGCUCUGAAUCAUGUCUUUGGUCAAAUGUUGGGUUUGCCCGGCUCCUAUGUUUUGGUACCUUACGUUCCGCUCUAUUGUCUAAGGUAGCGCUAGGAGAACUACUGCGAUUGUGCUCCGGUUCUGCCGGGCUGAGCACCUCAGUAGAGAAAGCUAAAACUGACUGUCAUGAUAAGGCGAGAGACUGGUCGCUGUUCGGCGAGGUUUUUUGAGUCCCUAAAGACUUAUGCCGCUUAGGGCGAGGGGCCAGCCCAGUCCGGCUUACAGGCGUGUAUCACGCCCCGAAUUCGGCCUUCCGAAUACCAGGGGCUUCGCCGAAAUUUAAAAUUAUAGAAUUCUAUGGCUAAGUGAGAGUGAAAAAGCAUUAUUAGUCCGGUUGCCUUGUUCGUUGUGCUGAGCACCUCCCUCGAAGGACCCAAAUAUGGGAACAAAAGUGCUCAGGUUUAUCCCGAACACCCCAUCACUCGUGGCAUGGGGGCAGAAGCCGAGGACUAGCCAUCUCUCAGAUUGGAUAAACAGCCAAACAGAAGGUAAUAUUUUAAAUUCAAACAAGCGUUGCAUAGCGCACAUGAAACAUGUUUUCAUAAAUACAGGAUAAAACGAGCGAGUUUACUCAAAUAUUACAUCUUUUAAACACUCAUCCGCGAUAAGACGGGCACCCGGCAGAACACCCUCGUAGUACAUCUCGGGGUGGCGGUGCUCCUUGCCCUCCAGCGGCCCCUCCUUGAUCAGCUUCACGGCGUCUAGCUUGACCCACUGCAAUUUCACACGGGCGAAAGCCCGGCGUGCACCUUCAAUGCAGACGGAUCGCUUGACGACCUCCAGCCGUGGGCAGGCAUCCACAAGCCGCCUCACCAGGCCGAAGAAGCUGUUCGGAAGGGCGUCGCCAGGCCACAGCCGGACUAUAAAGCCCUUCGUGGCCUGAUCGGCCGCCUUAUGUAGCUUGACCAUCUUCUUCAGCUGGUCAAUCAUCAGCACCAGAUGUUCGGCCUCAGCAUACUGAGACCAGAACAACUUCUCCGUCGAGCUUCCGUCCUUGGCCUGGUAAAAUUGUGCGGCAUCGGACACACCGCGGGGCAAAUCUGCGAAUGCUCCUGAAGAGCUCUGGAUCCGGGUAAGUAAUCAGUAAUUUACUUUUACAUGCUUGCUUUGCAUAUAGAAAGCCUUACCCGCCGCUAUAUUCUUCAUUGCGUCGAUCUCCUGGAGGGCCUUCUGGGCCUCGGCCUUGGCACUCUUUGCGCUCUCAAGGGCCGCGGCAAGCUCAGACUCUCGCGUCUUCGAGUCAAGCUCCAACGCCUCGUGCUUUGUCACGAGAGCCUGGAGCUCUUGCUGCACCUCGCCCACCCGAGCCUCGUGCUUCUCUCGCUCGGUGCGCUCCUUGGCCGCUGUAUCUUCGGCCUUGGUUAACGCUUGCUUCAGGGUCGCCACCUCGGUCGUGGCCCUUGACAAACAUACGAUGAUCCUGUCAUUUUGCAAUCGCGUCCUUCUUUAUAUAUACAUAUCUAUAGACGGGGUAUUACUUACCCUUGUUCUCCUCGAGCUGCCUCUUGGCAAGGCCGAGCUCUUUCUUGGACCCCUCGAGGUCCUGCUUCAGUACGGCGACCUCUGCAGUUAGUGCAGCGGACGCCAGCAGCGAAGCCUGCAUAUGCAUGUUGACACACUUAUAUUAGACUCCUGCGAUAUUAUUUGAUCCUAUGUUUGGCUUUUCUUUGUGAACACCGAACAAAGCAUCAGGGGCUACUGUCUAUGCGGUAAUAUUUCUACUAUAUUUUAAAACACUUACCUCAAAGCCUGUUAGAAGGCUGCAUAGACUUCAGUCAGUCCGCUCUUGGCGGACUGAACCUUCUGGAUCACCGCACUCAUGAUAGUGCGGUGCUCCUCGUCGAUGGAAGCGCUGCGAAGCGCUUCUAGCAGAUUGUCCGGUUCCUCUGGAUGGACAGAGGUCACCGGCACAGGCGUCUUGCCCCUCUUAGAAGGAGGCCGCCUGUCCGAGCCCAGAACCGCUGGAGAGUCCGCCAUGGUGUUCGGCUGGGGGCCGAACUUGGAGCUCUCGGAGGCCCCGUCCCCGCGGCUCCCGGAGUCCGGAAGGUCGCCUUGAGGCGCCUCCAGGACUGUCUCCCCUCGAUCCGGUGCCUCUUGAGACAGCACCUCGGCGUCGUCGGCAGGAUGAGGGGAGGCGGCGAUCGGGACUGGAUCGCUAUCCAUGUCCGACAAGCCCAAGGAGCCGUCCGAUGAUACAUCGAUACUGGCUCGUGGCGGCCUGCAUAAUUGCGUUCGGCGUUAGAGAAAGCAGUGCGACAAAGGAAUCCUAGGAGUUACUCUGGUAUCUGAAUACUUACGAUCUUCCCGGGGGCUUGACCCUGGGCAACCACUCAACUUCGCCUUCAUCGGCGGUGGUGGAACUAUCCGGAAGGAGUCCUUCCCUUCUUGGACCCUCCAGCCUCCCCAGUUGGGGCGACCUUCCUUUUCUUGUCUCCCCCAGUCGGUGGGGGAGCAUCUUCUUCUUCUUCUUCCUCGUCUUCGGGGGAAGAGUGCGCCACAGAGUCAUCGGACGGUGAGUCCGAUGACGCCUGGCGUCGGGAACUCUUUCGGGUUCCCUUGGCCUUCUUGGUCUUCUCCGGCACCUUAUAAGGGGCCGGAGUCAGCAUCUUCGCCAGAAGAGCGUCUGCGGGGCCUUCGGGCAAAGGAGCCGGACAGUCGAUCUGUCCGGCCAUCUUCUGUCAGUCCUAUCAAAGGGACGGGAGUUUAGAUCCCGCAUAGAGUCAAUCUAUAUAAAAAAAUAAGUAUCCUAUGAAAGGUAAAGCAGCUUACCGCACUGGCUUGGUGCUUCGCGCUGAAUCCGCGAUCCUCAGUAAUAGGGGGAGGGACCUCGACACCUUUGAACAGCACCCUCCAUGCGUCUUCAUGAGUCAUGUCGAAGAGGCUGUUCAGAGUUCGAUGCUGCGCCGGAUUGAACUCCCACAAGGUGAACUCCCGUUGCUGGCACGGGAGUAUCCGUCGGAUGAGCAUAACCUGGACUAUGUUGACAAGCUUGAGCUUCUUGUCCAUCAUGUUUUGAAUACAUGUUUGGAGUCCGGUCAGCUCUUUCGAACUACCCCAGGACAGGCCCUUCUCUUUUCAGGAGGUGAGCCGCAUGGUGAUGCCAGAUCGGAACUCGGGGGCCGCUACCCAUGCGGGGUCGCGCGGCUCGGUGAUAUAGAACCACCCCGAUUGCCACCCCUUUAUGGUUUCCACAAAGGAGCCCUCGAGCCAUGUUAUGUUGGGCAUCUUGCCCACCAUGGCGCCUCCGCACUCCACCUGGCGGCCGCCCACCACCUUCGACUUGACAUUGAAGGUAUUCAGCCAUAAGCCAAAGUGGGGUUUGAUGCGGAGGAAGGCCUUGCACACGACGAUAAACGCCGAGAUGUUGAGGAUGAAGUUCGGGGCCAGAUCGUGGAAAUCCAGGCCGUAAUAAAACAUGAGCCCUCGGACGAAGGGAUGGAGAGGGAAUCCCAGUCCGCGGAGGAAAUGGGUGAGGAAUACCACCCUCUCAUGGGGCCUGGGGGUGGGGAUGAGGUGCCCCUCAUCUGGGAGCCGGUGCGCGAUGUCGUCGGGCAGGUAUCCGGCUCUCCUUAGUUUCUUGAUGUCUCCCUCCAUGACGGAGGAGACCAUCCACUUGCCUCCCGCUCCGGACAUGAUUGGAGAAGGUCGAGGUGGGAAGUGCGGACUUGGGCGCUAGAGCACGAGUGUGCGAAAACGGAUGGGUAAGGGAGGAAGAAGGCAUGGAUGGAAAGGUGAAUCCUUAUCCCCUUAUAUGGGCAGACGAAACUAAGCGUCCCCACUUGCCUGGUAAACCUCGCUUAUCCCCCAAGCGCCACAAUUGAUGGCGCGGUUGGGUUACCCACGCCCGUAUUGAUGAGAAUCCCGUAAUAAGGGGACACGAUCUUGAAGGAUAUAUUCCCUAGAGGCAAUAAUUAAGUUAUUAUUUUAUUUCCUUAUAUCAUGAUAAAUGUUUAUUAUUCAUGCUAGAAUUGUAUUAUCCGGAAACAUAAUACUUGUGUGAAUACAUAGACAAACUAAACGUCACUAGUGUGCCUCUACUUGACUAGCUCGUUAAUCAAAGAUGGUUAUGUUUCCUAACCAUAGACAUGUGUUGUCAUUUGAUUAACGGGAUCACAUCAUUAGGAGAAUGAUGUGAUUGACAUGACCCAUUCCAUUAGCUUAGCACCCGAUCAUUUAGUAUGUUGCUAUUGCUUUCUUCAUGACUUAUAUAUGUUCCUAUGACUAUGAGAUUAUGCAACUCCCAUUUGCCGGAGGAACACUUUGUGUGCUACCAAACGUCACAACGUAAUUGGGUGAUUAUAAAGGAGCUCUACAGGUGUCUCCAAAGGUACAUGUUGGGUUGGCGUAUUUCGAGAUUAGGAUUUGUCACUCCAAUUGUCGGAGAGGUAUCUCUGGGCCCUCUCGGUAAUACACAUCACAUAAGCCUUGCAAGCAUUACAACUAAUGAGUUAGUUGCGAGAUGAUGUAUUAUGAAAUGAGUAAAGAGACUUGCCGGUAACGAGAUUGAACUAGGUAUUGAGAUACCGACGAUCGAAUCUCGGGCAAGUAACAUACCGAUGACAAAGGGAACAAAGUAUGUUGUUAUGCGGUCUGACCGAUAAAGAUCUUCGUAGAAUAUGUGAGAGACAAUAUGAGCAUCCAGGUUCCGCUAUUGGUUAUUGACCGGAGACAUGUCUUGGUCAUGUCUACAUUGUUCUCGAACCCGUAGCGUCCGCACGCUUAACGUUACGAUGAUAGCUUCAUUAUGAGUUUAUAUAUUUUGAUGUACCGAAGUUUGUUAGGAGUCCCGGAUGUGAUCACGGACAUGAUGAGGAGUCUCGAAAUGGCCGAGACAUAAAGAUUGAUAUAUUAGAAGCCUAUGUUUGGACAUCGGAAGUGUUCUGGGUAAAAUCGGCAUUUUACCGGAGUACCGGGAGGUUACCCGAACCCCCCGGUAACCUAAUGGGCCUAGUGGAGGAAGAGGAGAGGAGGCCUAGGGGCUGCCGCGCGCCCCUCCCCCCCAAGUCCGAAUUGGACAAGGAGGGGGGCGGCGCCCCCCCUUUCCUUUCUUCCUUCUCCUCCUUCCCCCCAAGUCCUAAUCCAACUAGGGAAAGGUGGGGAGUCCUACUCCCAGCAGGAGUAGGACUCCUCCGGCGCGUCUCCUCCUAGGGCCGGCCACACCCCCCCUUUGCUCCUUUAUAUACGGGGCAGGGGGCACCUCUAGACACACAAGUUGAUCCUCGUGAUCGUUUUCUUAGCCGUGUGCGGUGCCCCCUUCCACCAUACUCCUCGAUAAUAUUGUAGCGGUGCUUAGGCGAAGCCCUGCGACGGUAGAACAUCAAGAUCGUCACCAUGCCGUCGUGCUGACAGAACUCUUCCCCGACACUUUGCUGGAUCGGAGUCCGGGGAUCGUCAUCGAGCUGAACGUGUGCUAAAACUCGGAGGUGCCGUAGUUUCGGUGCUUGAUCGGUCGGGCCGUGAAGACGUACGACUACAUCAACCGCGUUGUCGUAACGCUUCCGCUGUCGGUCUACGAGGGUACGUAGACAACACUCUCCCCUCUCGUUGCUAUGCAUCACUAUGAUCUUGCAUGUGCGUAGGAAUUUUUUUGAAAUUACUACGUUCCCCAAAAGUGGCAUCCGAGCCUAGGUUUUAUGUGUUGAUGUUAUAUGCACGAGUAGAACACAAGUGAGUUGUGGGCGAUAUAAGUCAUACUGCUUACCAGCAUGUCAUAGUUUGGUUCGGCGGUAUUGUUGGAUGAAGCGGCCCGGACUGACAUUACGUGUACGCUUACGCGAGACUGGUUCUACCGACGCGCUUUGCACACAGGUGGCUGGCGGGUGUCAGUUUCUCCAACUUUAGUUGAACCGAGUGUGGCUACGCCCGGUCCUUGCGAAGGUUAAAACAGCACCAACUUGACAAACUAUCGUUGUGGUUUUGAUGCGUAGGUAAGAUUGGUUCUUGCUUAAGCCCGUAGCAGCCAUGUAAAACUUGCAACAAACAAAGUAGAGGACAUCUAACUUGUUUUUGCAGGGCAUGUUGUGAUGUGAUAUGGUCAAGACAUGAUGCUAAAAUUUUAUUGUAUGAGAUGAUCAUGUUUUGUAACUGAGUUAUUGGCAACUGGCAAGAGCCAUAUGGUUGUCGCUUUAUUCUAUGCAAUGCAAUUGCGCUGUAAUGCUUUACUUUAUCACUAAGCGGUAGCGAUAGUCGUGGAAGCAUAAGAUUAGCAAGACGACAACGAUGCUACCAUGGUGAUCAAGGUGUCGCACCGGUGACGAUGGUGAUCAUGACGGUGCUUCAAAGAUGGAGAUCGCAAGCACAAGAUGAUGAUGGCCAUAUCAUAUCACUUAUAUUGAUUGCAUGUGAUGUUUAUCUUUUAUGCAUCUUAUCUUGCUUUGAUUGACGGUAGCAUUUUAAGAUGAUCUCUCACUAAUUAUCAAGAAGUGUUCUCCCUGAGUAUGCACCGUUGCGAAAGUUCUUCGUGCUGAGACACCACGUGAUGAUCGGGUGUGAUAGGCUCUACGUUCAAAUACAACGGGUGCAAAACAGUUGCACACGUGGAAUACUCAGGUUAUACUUGACGAGCCAAGCAUAUACAGAUAUGGCCUCGGAGAACGGAGACCGAAAGGUCGAGCGUGAAUCAUAUAGUAGAUAUGAUCAACAUAGUGAUGUUCACCAAUGAAACUACUCCAUCUCACGUGAUGAUCGGACAUGGUUUAGUUGAUUUGGAUCACGUGAUCACUUAGAGGAUUAGAGGGAUGUCUAUCUAAGUGGGAGUACUUUAGUAAUAUGAUUAAUUGAACUUAAAUUUAUCAUGAACUUAGUACCUGAUAGUAUCUUGCUUAUUUAUGUUUGAUUGUAGAUAGAUGGCCCGUGCUGUUGUUCCAUUGAAUUUUAAUGCGUUCCUUGAGAAAGCAAAGUUGAAAGAUGAUGGUAGCAAUUACACGGACUGGGUCCAUAACUUGAGGAUUAUCCUCAUUGCUGCACAGAAGAAUUAUGUCCUGGAAGCACCGCUGGGUGCCAGGCCUACUGCUGGAGCAACACCAGAUGUUAUGAACGUUUGGCAGAGCAAAGCUGAUGACUACUCGAUAGUUCAGUGUGCCAUGCUUUACGGCUUAGAAUCGGGACUUCAACGACGUUUUGAACGUCAUGGAGCAUAUGAGAUGUUCUAGGAGUUGAAGUUAAUAUUUCAAGCAAAUGCCCGGAUUGAGAGAUAUGAAGUCUCCAAUAAGUUCUAUAGCUGCAAGAUGGAGGAGAACAGUUCUGUCAGUGAGCAUAUACUCAAAAUGUCUGGGUAUAAUAAUCACUUGAUUCAAUUGGGAGUUAAUCUUCCAGAUGAUUGCGUCAUUGACAAAAUUCUCCAAUCACUUCCACCUAGCUACAAGAGCUUCGUGAUGAACUAUAAUAUGCAAGGGAUGAAUAAGACAAUUCCUGAGCUCUUCGCAAUGCUGAAAGCUGCAGAGGUAGAAAUCAAAAAGGAGCAUCAAGUGUUGAUGGUCAACAAGACCACUAGUUUCAAGAAAAAGGGCAAAGGGAAGAAGAAGGGGAACUUCAAAAAGAACAACAAGCAAGUUGCUGCUCAGGAGAAGAAACCCAAAUCUGGACCUAAGCCUGAAACUGAGUGCUUCUACUGCAAGCAGACUGGUCACUGGAAGCGGAACUGCCCCAAGUAUUUGGCGGAUAAGAAGGAUGGCAAGGUGAACAAAGGUAUAUGUGAUAUACAUGUUAUUGAUGUGUACCUUACUAAUGCUCGCAGUAGCACCUAGGUAUUUGAUACUGGUUCUGUUGCUAAUAUUUGCAACUCGAAACAGGGACUACGGAUUAAGCGAAGAUUGGCUAAGGACGAGGUGACGAUGCGCGUGGGAAAUGGUUCCAAAGUUGAUGUGAUCGCGGUCGGCACGCUACCUCUACAUCUACCUUCGGGAUUAGUAUUAGACCUAAAUAAUUGUUAUUUGGUGCCAGCGUUAAGCAUGAAUAUUAUAUCUGGAUCUUGUUUAAUGCGAGACGGUUAUUCAUUUAAAUCAGAGAAUAAUGGUUGUUCUAUUUAUAUGAGUAAUAUCUUUUAUGGUCAUGCAUCCUUGAAGAGUGGUCUAUUCUUAUUAAAUCUCGAUAGUAGUGACACACAUAUUCAUAAUGUUGAAACCAAAAGAUGCAGAGUUGAUAAUGAUAGUGCAACUUAUUUGUGGCACUGCCGUUUAGGUCAUAUCGGUAUAAAGUGCAUGAAGAAACUCCAUACUGAUGGACUUUUGGAACCACUUGAUUAUGAAUCACUUGGUACUUGCGAACCGCGCCUUAUGGGCAAGAUGACAAAAACACCGUUCUCCGGUACUAUGGAGAGAGCAAUAGAUUUGUUGGAAAUCAUACAUACAGAUGUAUGUGGUCCGAUGAAUGUUGAGGCUCGUGGCGGAUAUCGUUAUUUUCUCACCUUCACAGAUGACUUAAGCAGAUAUGGGUAUAUCUACUUAAUGAAAUAUAAGUCUGAAACAUUUGAAAAGUUCAAAGAAUUUCAGAGUGAAGUUGAAAAUCAUUGUAACAAGAAAAUAAAAUUCCUACGAUCUGAUCGUGGAGGAGAAUAUUUGAGUUACGAAUUUGGUGUACAUUUGAAACAAUGCAGAAUAGUUUCGCAACUCACGCCACCCGGAACACCACAACGUAAUGGUGUGUCCGAACGUCGUAAUCGUACUUUACUAGAUAUGGUGCGAUCUAUGAUGUCUCUUACUGGUUUACCGCUAUCGUUUUGGGGUUAUGCUUUAGGGACGGCCGUAUUCACGUUAAAUAGGGCACCAUCAAAAUCAGUUGAGACGACGCCUUAUGAACUGUGGUUUGGCAAGAAACCAAAGUUGUCGUUUCUGAAAGUCUGGGCUGUGAUGCUUAUAUGAAAAAGCUUCAACCUGAUAAACUCAAACCCAAAUCGGAGAAAUGUGUCUUCAUAGGAUAUCCAAAGGAAACUAUUGGAUACACCUUCUAUCAUAGAUCCGAAGGCAAGACUUUUGUUGCUAAAUUUGGAAACUUUCUGGAGAAGGAGUUUCUCUCGAAAGAAGUGAGUGGGAGGAAAGUAGAACUUGAUGAGGUAACUGUACCUACUCCCUUAUUGGAAAGUAGUACAUCACAGAAACCGGUUUCUGUGACACCUACACCAAUUAGUGAGGAAGCUAAUGAUGAUGAUCAUGAAACUUCAGAACAAGAUACUACUGAACCUCGUAGAUCAACCAGAGUAAGAUCCGCACCAGAGUGGUACGGUAAUCCUGUUCUGGAAGUCAUGCUACUAGAUCAUGAUGAACCUACGAACUAUGGAGAAGCGAUGGCGAGCCCAGAUUCCGCAAAAUGGCUUGAAGCCAUGAAAUCUGAGAUGGGAUCCAUGUAUGAGAACAAAGUGUGGACUUUGGUUGACUUGCCCAAUGAUCGGCAAGCAAUUGAGAAUAAAUGGAUCUUCAAGAAGAAGACUGACGCUGGCGGUAAUGUUACUGUCUACAAAGCUCGACUUGUCACAAAAGGUUUUCGACAAGUUCAAGGGAUUGACUACGAUGAGACCUUCUCACCCGUAGCGAUGCUUAAGUCUGUCCGAAUCAUGUUAUCAAUUGCCGCAUUUUAUGAUUAUGAAAUUUGGCAGAUGGAUGUCAAAACUGCAUUCCUGAAUGGAUUUCUGGAAGAAGAGUUGUAUAUGAUGCAACCAGAAGGUUUUGUCGAUCCAAAGGGAGCUAACAAAGUGUGCAAGCUCCAGCGAUCCAUUUAUGGACUGGUGCAAGCCUCUCGGAGUUGGAAUAAAUGCUUUGAUAGUGUGAUCAAAGCAUUUGGUUUUGUACAGACUUUUGGAGAAGCCUGUAUUUACAAGAAAGUGAGUGGGAGCUCUGUAGCAUUUCUGAUAUUAUAUGUAGAUGACAUAUUACUAAUCGGAAAUGAUAUAGAAUUUCUGGAUAGCAUAAAGGGAUACUUGAAUAAGCGUUUUUCAAUGAAAGACCUCGGUGAAGCUGCUUACAUAUUGGGCAUUAAGAUCUAUAGAGAUAGAUCAAGACGCUUAAUUGGACUUUCACAAAGCACAUACCUUGACAAAGUUUUGAAGAAGUUCAAAAUGGAUCAAGCAAAGAAAGGAUUCUUGCCUGUGUUACAAGGUGUGAAAUUGAGUAAGACUCAAUGCCCGACCACUGCAGAAGAUAGAGAGAAAAUGAAAGAUGUUUCCUAUGCUUCAGCCAUAGGCUCUAUCAUGUAUGCAAUGCUGUGUACCAGACCUGAUGUGUGUCUUUCUAUAAGUCUAGCAGGGAGGUACCAAAGUAAUCCAGGAGUGGAUCACUGGACAACGGUCAAGAACAUCCUAAAAUACCUGAAAAGGACUAAGGAUAUGUUUCUCAUAUAUGGAGGUGACAAAGAGCUCAUCGUAAAUGGUUACGUUGAUGCAAGCUUUGACACUGAUCCGGACGAUUGUAAAUCGCAAACCAGAUACGUGUUUACAUUAAACGGUGGAGCUGUCAGUUGGUGCAGUUCUAAACAAAGCGUUGUGGCGGGAUCUACAUGUGAAGCGGAGUACAUAGCUGCUCCGGAAGCAGCAAAUGAAGGAGUCUGGAUGAAGGAGUUCAUAUCCGAUCUAGGUGUCAUACCUAGUGCAUCGGGUCCAAUGAAAAUAUUUUGUGACAAUACUGGUGCAAUUGCCUUGGCAAAGGAAUCCAGAUUUCACAAGAGAACCAAGCACAUCAAGAGACGCUUCAAUUCCAUCCGAGAUCUAGUCCAGGUGGGAGACAUAGAGAUUUGCAAGAUACAUACGGAUCUGAAUGUAGCAGACCCGUUGACUAAGCCUCUUCCACGAGCAAAACAUGAUCAACACCAAAGCUCCAUGGGUGUUAGAAUCAUUACUGUGUAAUCUAGAUUAUUGACUCUAGUGCAAGUGGGAGACUGAAGGAAAUAUGCCCUAGAGGCAAUAAUAAAGUUAUUAUUUUAUUUCCUUAUAUCAUGAUAAAUGUUUAUUAUUCAUGCUAGAAUUGUAUUAUCCGGAAACAUAAUACUUGUGUGAAUACAUAGACAAACUAAACGUCACUAGUGUGCCUCUACUUGACUAGCUCGUUAAUCAAAGAUGGUUAUGUUUCCUAACCAUAGACAUGUGUUGUCAUUUGAUUAACGGGAUCACAUCAUUAGGAGAAUGAUGUGAUUGACAUGACCCAUUCCAUUAGCUUAGCACCCGAUCGUUUAGUAUGUUGCUAUUGCUUUCUUCAUGACUUAUACAUGUUCCUAUGACUAUGAGAUUAUGCAACUCCCAUUUGCCGGAGGAACACUUUGUGUGCUACCAAACGUCACAACGUAACUGGGUGAUUAUAAAGGAGCUCUACAGGUGUCUCCAAAGGUACAUGUUGGGUUGGCGUAUUUCGAGAUUAGGAUUUGUCACUCCGAUUGUCGAAGAGGUAUCUCUGGGCCCUCUCGGUAAUACACAUCACAUAAGCCUUGCAAGAAUUACAACUAAUGAGUUAGUUGCGAGAUGAUGUAUUACGAAACGAGUAAAGAGACUUGCCGGUAACGAGAUUGAACUAGGUAUUGAGAUACCGACGAUCGAAUCUCGGGCAAGUAACAUACCAAUGACAAAGGGAACAAAGUAUGUUGUUAUGCGGUCUGACCGAUAAAGAUCUUCGUAGAAUAUGUGGGAGCCAAUAUGAGCAUCCAGGUUCCGCUAUUGUUUAUUGACCGGAGACAUGUCUCGGUCAUGUCUACAUUGUUCUCGAACCCGUAAGGUCCGCACGCUUAACGUUACGAUGACAGUUUCAUUAUGAGUUUAUAUAUUUUGAUGUACCGAAGUUUGUGAGGAGUCCCGAAUGUGAUCACGGACAUGACGAGGAGUCUCGAAAUGGUCGAGACAUAAAGAUUGAUAUAUUGAAAGCCUAUGUUUGGACAUCAGAAGUGUUCCGGGUAAAAUCGGCAUUUUACCGGAGUACCGGGAGGUUACCGAAACCCCCCGGUAACCUAAUGGGCCUUAAUGGGCCUAGUGGAGGAAGAGGAGAGGAGGCCUAGGGGCUGCCGCGCGCCCCUCCCCCCCAAGUCCGAAUUGGACAAGGAGGGGGGGGGGGCGCCCCCCUUUCCUUUCUUCCCUCUCCUCCUUCCCCCCAAGUCCUAAUCCAACUAGGAAAAGGUGGGGAGUCCUACUCCCGGUAGGAGUAGGACUCCUCCGGCGCGCCUCCUCCUAGGGCCGGCCGCACCCCCCUUUGCUCCUUUAUAUACGGGGGCAGGGGGCACCUCUAGACACUAAGUUGAUCCUCGUGAUCGUUUUCUUAGCCGUGUGCGGUGCCCCCUUCCACCAUACUCCUCGAUAAUAUUGUAGCGGUGCUUAGGCGAAGCCCUGCGACGGUAGAACAUCAAGAUCGUCACCACGCCGUCGUGCUAACGGAACUCUUCCCCGACACUUUGCUGGAUCGGAGUCCGGGGAUCGUCAUUGAGCUGAACGUGUGCUAAAACUCGGAGGUGCCGUAGUUUCGGUGCUUGAUCGGUCGGGCCGUGAAGAUGUACGACUACAUUAACCGCGUUGUCAUAACGCUUCUGCUGUCGGUCUAUGAGGGUACGUAGACAACACUCUCCCCUCUCGUUGCUAUGCAUCACCAUGAUCUUGCGUGUGCGUAGGAAUUUUUUUGAAAUUACUACGUUCCCCAAGAGAUCUCUGCUUUGGGAAGACGUGUCGAAAAACUGCCUCGCGUUAUGUGCGGGGCUGGUUAAAAGAAACGGUUCGAAUAAUCACUGGGCCGUGACGCAACGUCAUGCUGUCAAAACAAGCCAGCAAAUUAGAUCUGCGAAAAUAUUAUUCUCUCUACAGUGGAAUGUGGAACUUAUUUUGCAGGGUCGGACACUAUCCUCGUAUUCAAAUUCUUCUGCGGUGUAUUUGGAGAAGGAACCCGCCUUUGCAAUGCCGAAGACAAUACUGCGCGCCGGACUCAUCGUCAUUGAAGCCUGGUUCAGGGGCUACUGAGGGAGUCCUGGAUUAGGGGGUCUCCGAACAGCCGGACUAUCUCCGUUGGCCGAACUGUUAGACUAUGAAGAUACAAGAUUGAAGACUUCGUCUCGUGUCCGGAUGGGACUCUACUUGGCGUGGAAGGCAAGCUAGGCAGUACUGAUAUGGAUAUCUCCUCCUUUGUAACCGACCUUGUGUAACCCUAACCCUCUCCGGUGUCUAUAUAAAACGGGGGGUUUUAGUCCGUAGGACAACAAUCAUAACAUACAAUCAUACCAUAGGCUGGCUUCUAGGGUUUAGCCUCUCUGAUCUUGUGGUAGAUCUACUCUUGUACUACCCAUAUCAUCAAUAUUAAUCAAGCAGGACGUAGGGUUUUACCUCCAUCAAGAGGGCCCAAACCUGGGUAAAACAUCGUGUCCCCUGCCUCCUGUUACCAUCCGUCCUAGACGCACAGUUCGGGAUCCCCUACCCGAGAUCCGCCGGUUUUGACACCAACAACGGCACUUGGUGUCUCUGUAUUGACUACAUAUAUCUCAAUGCUCUCACCAUCGUGGGGAAGUACCCGGUUCCGGUCAUUGAAGAAUUGUUGGACGAACUUUAUGGACUCCGUGGUUCUCUAAGCUUGAUCUCCGAGUGGGAUAUCAUCAGAUACGAUUGGCAGAAGGCGAAGAAUUUAAAACAACAUUCUAGACUCACUUUGGGCAUUUCGAGUUCAAGGUGAUGGGCGCUGGAUUGGCUGGUGGACCAGGAACAUUUAAUGGCGCAAUGAACACUACCUUGCAUCCCCUGCUCAGAAAAUGUGUCUUGGUGUUCUUUGACGACAUUCUGGUUUUCAGCAAGACCUUGGAAGAUCACAAGCAACAUCUGAAAGAGGUUCUUCAGCUGCUGAGGCGUGAUCACUGAAAAGUUAAGCGAUCCAAGUGUGCGUUUGGUCAAGAACAGCUCACAUAUUUGGGGCAUGUGGUCAGUGCUCAAGGGGUGGCUACAGAACCAACCAAGAUCCAAGCAGUUCAACGCUGGACAACACCUGCCAAUGUCAAGGAAGUGCGUAGCUUCUUGGGGCUUGCAGGGUACUACCACCGAUUCGUGCGCAACUUUGGCAUCAUCGCGAGGCCCCUGUUCCAAUUACUGAAGAAAGGGGUCCCAUUUGUUUGGACACACGACACCGACACAGCCUUCCAACUUCUCAAGCAGCAGUUGAUAUCGGCCCCCGUGCUCGCCCUGCCUGAUUUCUCUAUGCCGUUCUCUAUUGAGACUGAUGCAAGUGAUAAAGGAGUGGGAGCAGUCCUCCAUCAGAAUGGGCACCCUAUCGCAUUCAUGAGUAAAGCUCUAUCCCCUCGUUACCAAGGCCUAUCGACAUAUGAGAAAGAAUAUCUCACGAUCAUCGUAGCGGCCGACCAAUGGAGGCCAUACCUGCAACACUCGGAGUUCACAAUUCAUACAGAUCAACGCAGCCUUAUUCACUUGGAAACACAACGGCUCACGACUCCCUGGCAGCAACGAGCUUUUACUAAGCUCUUGGGACUGAACUACACUAUCCGUUACAAGAAGGGGAAAGAAAACUCACCCGCAGACGCCCUGUCGCGAGCCAACUUCUCUGAAUCACUAGCAACCAUAUCCUAUUGUAGACCAGCGUGGCUCGAGGAUAUUGCAAGCAGUUACAACAGUAAUCCCCAAGCCCAAUGGCUGCUUGAACAAUUGGCGGUCCGCGACGAUCCCAAAGGAAGAUUCUCAUUGCACCAGGGGCUCCUUCGAUUCCGCGGCCGCAUUUGGCUCGGAGGAAGCACUGCCAUACAACAGCGUAUAUUGGCGACGUUUCACGACAGCCCUAUGGGGGGUCAUUCAGGGUUUUCGGCCACAUAUCGUCGGAUAUGCCAACUGUUUGCAUGGCCCAAGAUGAAGCUGCAAGUGCAACACUAUGUCAAGUGCUGUCAGACAUGUCAACAAGCAAAACCAGACCGUGCAGCGUCACCUGGACUACUCAUACCUUUACCUAUUCCGCAGCAACCUUGGAAGAUGAUCACAAUGGACUUUGUGACUGGACUUCCCCAAUCAGGCAAGUACAAUUGCUUGUGGGUCCUCCUGGACAAACGAACAAGGUUUGCAUACUUCCUGCCUCUGUCACACCCAUACACGGCUGCGAAGGUGGCGCAGCUCUAUAUGCAGCAAAUCUACAGAGUUCAUGGAUUUCUAGGAGCUACUGUAUCAGAUCGCGACCCGGUUUUCACCAAUCAUUUUUGGCAAGAGCUAUUCUAGUAUGCAGGAACCGAGCUGAGAUUGAGCACGGCGAAUCACCCACAGACCGAUGGCCAAACGAAGUGCGUCAACCAAUGCAUCGAGACCUUCUUGUGCUGCUUCACGCAUGCUUGCCCAAAAAGAUGGAGUUUCUGGAUACCAUUGGCUCAAUUCUGGUAUAACUCCUCCCACCACUCUGCCAUUGGAAUGACUCCUUUCAAAGCUUUAUUUGGCCACGAACCUCGCCAUUGGGGCCUCUCCUCUGCAAAUGCCUGCUCCGUCCCGGCCCUGCACACUUGGUUGGAGGAGAGGGCAGUGAUUCAAAAUCUGCUGCAACAACAUCUAAAUCGAGCGAGGCAAUACAUGAAGUACCAGGCAGACAAGAAGCGCUCACCGCGAACCUUUGAAGUAGGUGAUCAAGUGUUCUUGAAGCUCCAGCCGUUCAUUCAAACGUCGGUGGCCCCAAGGGCAAACCACAAGCUUUCGUUCAAGUUCUAUGGCCCCUUUCCAAUCAUCGCCAAGGUGAACGACGCGGCCUACCGACUUCAGCUCCCGGCGCACGCGACAGUGCACCCCGUCUUCCAUGUAUCCCAGCUACGUCAGGCGAUCCUCCCUGGUAUGCAAGUGCACUCCGAUCUCCCUAUCUGUGCUGAUGAACUUGCUGUUCCCAUGGCAAUUCUGGAGACGAGGUGGCGCAAAAGAAGCAACGGCACUAUGCUGGAGCAAGUGAAGGUGCGCUGGUCUGAUCCAUCAUCCAUGGGGGACACCUGGGAAGACAAAUUGGCGCUUCAAGCUCGCUUCCCAAAAGCGGAGGCUUGGGGUCAAGCCUCAUCACAAGGAGAAGGGGAUGUUAGCGCCCCUGCCAGGAAAGGCACCCACCACAGCGCCAACGACACGCGCGACCGCGGACCAACCCCCGCUUCACUGGGCCGGACUGGGCCAACCAGCUACACCCGAAGGGCCACGCUGUUUAAGCAAGGCGAGUACCAGAGGCGAGUCAUCCAGAGGAUCACGGUGAACGGCACCGGCGGCUACCUACUUUCCCUUCCACUUGUUCUUGUGUUCAUCCUGCACCGAAGAACUCCUACCAAUUCUUGUAAUCUCCUGUACCUAAGCUACUACUUCAAAGAGCUAAACCAAGAGAGGAUCAGUGUAAUCAUAACAUGAAUACUGUCGGCCAGAGUCUUCCUUCACAUCUCCUGUAGAAAAAAACAGAGCGAGCUGUAGACAUGAACCAAAAGCUGUUAUGUAUCCAAGCUCCACA
rnacentral:lncRNA from 1 species